GACGAACGCCGGCGGCGUGCCUAAUACAUGCAAGUAGAACGCACAGUUUAUACCGUAGCUUGCUACACCAUAGACUGUGAGUUGCGAACGGGUGAGUAACGCGUAGGUAACCUGCCUGGUAGCGGGGGAUAACUAUUGGAAACGAUAGCUAAUACCGCAUAAUAUUAAUUAUUGCAUGAUAAUUGAUUGAAAGAUGCAACUGCAUCACUACCAGAUGGACCUGCGUUGUAUUAGCUAGUAGGUGAGGUAACGGCUCACCUAGGCGACGAUACAUAGCCGACCUGAGAGGGUGAUCGGCCACACUGGGACUGAGACACGGCCCAGACUCCUACGGGAGGCAGCAGUAGGGAAUCUUCGGCAAUGGACGAAAGUCUGACCGAGCAACGCCGCGUGAGUGAAGAAGGUUUUCGGAUCGUAAAGCUCUGUUGUAAGAGAAGAACGGGUGUGAGAGUGGAAAGUUCACACUGUGACGGUAUCUUACCAGAAAGGGACGGCUAACUACGUG
rnacentral:rRNA from 1 species